rnacentral:rRNA from 1 species
GUUGUAUAGUUAAGUGAGAAAGCGUACAGGGCGGAUGCCUUGGCAAUCAGAGGCGAAGAAGGACGUGCUAAUCUGCGAAAAGCGUGGGUGAGUUGAUAAGAAGCGUUUAACCCACGAUGUCCGAAUGGGGAAACCCGAUAGGCGAAGAGCCUAUCAUUGCGAGGUGAAUAAAAUAGCCUCGUAAGGCGAACCGGGAGAACUGAAACAUCUAAGUACCCCGAGGAAAAGAAAUCAACCGAGAUUCUGUGAGUAGCGGCGAGCGAAAGCGGAGGAGCCAGUAAGUAAUAGCAGCAGAGAUAGAGGAAUUGUCUGGGAAGGCAAGCGACACAGGGUGAUAGCCCCGUACUUAAAAUCCAGGCUGUGGUACUAAGCUUACGAGAAGUAGGGCGGGACACGAGGAAUCCUGUCUGAAGAUGGGGGACCAUCCUCCAAGGCUAAAUACUCCUGAUUGACCGAUAGUGAACCAGUACUGUGAAGGAAAGGCGAAAAGAACCCCGGUGAGGGGAGUGAAAUAGAACCUGAAACCCUGUACGUACAAGCAGUGGGAGCCCGCAAGGGUGACUGCGUACCUUUUGUAUAAUGGGUCAGCGACUUAUAUUUUGUAGCGAGGUUAACUGAAUAAGGGAGCCGAAGGGAAACCGAGUCUUAACUGGGCGGUGAGUUGCAAGGUAUAGACCCGAAACCCGGUGAUCAGCCAUGGGCAGGUUGAAGGUUGGGUAACACUAACUGGAGGACCGAACCGACUAAUGUUGAAAAAUUAGCGGAUGACCUGUGGCUGGGGGUGAAAGGCCAAUCAAACCGGGAGAUAGCUGGUUCUCCCCGAAAUCUAUUUAGGUAGAGCCUUGUGUGAAUACCUUUGGGGUAGAGCACUGUUUCGGCUAGGGGCCCAUCCCGGGUUACCAAACCGAUGCAAACUCCGAAUACCAAAGAGUAAUGCACAGGAGACACACGGCGGGUGCUAACGUCCGUCGUGGAGAGGGAAACAACCCAGACCGCCAGCUAAGGUCCCAAAAUCUAUAUUAAGUGGGAAACGAAGUGGGAAGGCUUAGACAGCUAGGAUGUUGGCUUAGAAGCAGCCACCAUUUAAAGAAAGCGUAAUAGCUCACUAGUCGAGUCGGCCUGCGCGGAAGAUGUAACGGGGCUAAAAUAUAGUACCGAAGCUGCGGCAUCAAUCGAAGGAUUGUUGGGUAGGGGAGCGUUGUGUAAGCGGAAGAAGGUGGUUCGAGAGGAUUGCUGGACGUAUCACAAGUGCGAAUGCUGACAUAAGUAACGAUAAAACGGGUGAAAAACCCGUUCGCCGGAAGACCAAGGGUUCCUGUCCAACGUUAAUCGGGGCAGGGUGAGUCGGCCCCUAAGGCGAGGCUGAAAAGCGUAGUCGAUGGGAAACGGGUUAAUAUUCCCGUACUUGGUAAAGCUGCGAUGUGGGGACGGAGAAGGUUAGGUUAUCGACCUGUUGGAUAUGGUCGUUUAAGUUGGUAGGUGGGUGAGUUAGGUAAAUCCGGCUCACCGUUAACACUGAGAGAUGAUGACGAGGCACUAAGGUGCUGAAGUAACUGAUACCACACUUCCAGGAAAAGCCACUAAGCUUCAGGCUUUACUAAACCGUACUGAAAACCGACACAGGUGGUCAGGUAGAGAAUACUCAGGCGCUUGAGAGAACUCGGGUGAAGGAACUAGGCAAAAUAGCACCGUAACUUCGGGAGAAGGUGUGCCGGCGUAGAUUGUAGUGACUUGCUCACGAAGGUUGAACCGGUCGAAGAUACCAGCUGGCUGCAACUGUUUAUUAAAAACACAGCACUCUGCAAACACGAAAGUGGACGUAUAGGGUGUGAUGCCUGCCCGGUGCUGGAAGGUUAAUUGAUGGUGUAAUCGAAAGAGAAGCUCCUGAUCGAAGCCCCAGUAAACGGCGGCCGUAACUAUAACGGUCCUAAGGUAGCGAAAUUCCUUGUCGGGUAAGUUCCGACCUGCACGAAUGGCAUAAUGAUGGCCAGGCUGUCUCCACCCGAGACUCAGUGAAAUUGAAAUCGCCGUGAAGAUGCGGUGUACCCGCGGCUAGACGGAAAGACCCCGUGAACCUUUACUAUAGCUUGACACUGAACCUUGAAUUUUGAUGUGUAGGAUAGGUGGGAGACUAUGAAGCGGUAACGCCAGUUAUCGUGGAGUCGUUGUUGAAAUACCACCCUUUAACGUUUGAUGUUCUAACGAAGUGCCUGAAACGGGUACUCGGACAGUGUCUGGUGGGUAGUUUGACUGGGGCGGUCUCCUCCCAAAGUGUAACGGAGGAGCACGAAGGUUUGCUAAUGACGGUCGGACAUCGUCAGGUUAGUGCAAUGGUAUAAGCAAGCUUAACUGCGAGACAGACAAGUCGAGCAGGUGCGAAAGCAGGUCAUAGUGAUCCGGUGGUUCUGAAUGGAAGGGCCAUCGCUCAACGGAUAAAAGGUACUCCGGGGAUAACAGGCUGAUACCGCCCAAGAGUUCAUAUCGACGGCGGUGUUUGGCACCUCGAUGUCGGCUCAUCACAUCCUGGGGCUGAAGUAGGUCCCAAGGGUAUGGCUGUUCGCCAUUUAAAGUGGUACGCGAGCUGGGUUUAGAACGUCGUGAGACAGUUCGGUCCCUAUCUGCCGUGGGCGUUGGAGAAUUGAGAGGGGCUGCUCCUAGUACGAGAGGACCGGAGUGGACGCAUCACUGGUGUACCAGUUGUCUCGCCAGAGGCAUUGCUGGGUAGCUAAAUGCGGAAGAGAUAAGUGCUGAAAGCAUCUAAGCACGAAACUUGCCUUGAGAUGAGUUCUCCCAGUCUAUAAGACUGUAAGGGUUGUUGGAGACUACGACGUAGAUAGGCUGGGUGUGUAAGCGGUGUGAGCCGUUGAGCUAACCAGUACUAAUUGCCCGAGAGGCUUAACUAUACAACGCUCAAGGGUUUUG